rnacentral:rRNA from 1 species
UACGUAGGGUGCAAGCGUUGUCCGGAAUUAUUGGGCGUAAAGAGCUCGUAGGCGGUUCGUCGCGUCGGCUGUGAAAACCCGGAGCUCAACUCCGGGCCUGCAGUCGAUACGGGCGGACUCGAGUUCGGCAGGGGAGACUGGAAUUCCUGGUGUAGCGGUGAAAUGCGCAGAUAUCAGGAGGAACACCAGUGGCGAAGGCGGAUCUCUGGGCCGUAACUGACGCUGAGGAGCGAAAGCAUGGGGAGCGAACAGG